UACGUAGGGUGCAAGCGUUGUCCGGAAUUAUUGGGCGUAAAGAGCUCGUAGGCGGUUUGUUGCGUCGGCUGUGAAAACCUGGGGCUUAACUCCGGGCCUGCAGCUGAUACGGGCAGACUAGAGUUCGGCAGGGGAGACUGGAAUUCCUGGUGUAGCGGUGAAAUGCGCAGAUAUCAGGAGGAACACCGAUGGCGAAGGCAGGUCUCUGGGCAUUAACUGACGCUGAGGAGCGAAAGCAUGGGGGAGCGAACAGG
rnacentral:rRNA from 1 species